rnacentral:lncRNA from 1 species
GAGUCUCCUUUAUCAAAAUCCCCUCUGAUGGAGCUUUCACCACAACCUCGAAUGGAAAAAUUGUGGACUCGGUAAUCAAAAAGAAAUUUUCAUCUCCCACAACUGCAGUAGUUGAUUCAGUGGUCGAAACAUUGACAUCACCACCCACUGAGGCUGGAGGAUCAACGGAUGAAACUUUGGUUUGCCUUUUUCAGGCUAAUACC